UAGAGGUCCGCCUGCCUGUGACCAUGUGUUUAACGGCCGCGGUAUUUUGACCGUGCAAAGGUAGCGCAAUCACUUGUCUUUUAAAUGGAGACCUGUAUGAAUGGCACGACGAGGGCUUAACUGUCUCCUUUUUCCAGUCAAUGAAAUUGAUCUUCCCGUGCAGAAGCGGAAAUGACACCAUAAGACGAGAAGACCCUGUGGAGCUUUAAACAUUAAAGCAGAUUCAUGUCAAAGACCCUUAUUAAGGGACAGAACAAGUUGAACCCCCGCUGUGAUGUCUUUGGUUGGGGCGACCUCGGGGAAAUAAAAAACCCCCGCGCGGAAUAGGAGCACUACUACUCCCAAAACCAAGAGUUACCACUCUAAUUAACAGAACUUCUGACCACCAAGAUCCGGCCAAUGCCGAUCAACGGACCGAGUUACCCCAGGGAUAACAGCGCAAUCCUCUUUUAGAGCCCAUAUCGACAAGAGGGUUUACGACCUCGAUGUUGGAUCAGGACAUCCUAAUGGUGCAGCCGCUAUUAAGGGUUCGUUUGUUCAACGAUUAAAGUCCUACGUGAUCUG
rnacentral:rRNA from 1 species